CCAAAAUACUGUACAGAAGGCAGCAUUUCUAACAGGAAGCAGGAGCUCAUUGGCAGCCCCUGCUGCAGGAAAGGAGGAGCUGCCAGCCACGGGCACAGGCCCAGGAGAUUCAGCCGGCACCACAACACGUGUUCCCAGUGACCAGAAGGGGACAGGAGGAGGUUGCUAUUGGGAAACACACUGCUUGCUGGAGCUCAUGGCCAUCGUGGGUGGUGCAGCGCUUGUCUUGAUGUUGUGCUGUGUUGGAGUUUGGUAUUGCUGGAAGAGAAAACGGUGCCGCUCUGCACCUUCACAAGACCAGCAAAACACCUCCGUGUGGGAGAACCGGACCUGUCAUCUGACAUCUCCAUGCCCAAUGUCCCUGCCACGGCUGCAUUACCAGCUUAUUGCUGUACUGCCAUCACCCAGAAGAGGACCCUCUGUCCCCAAAGGCACUGGCCCUGCUCUCGGGCCAGAGUUGAAGGGGGACCCCUCCUGCCAGAGCAGGGUUUGAGUUCAGCAACGCCUCUGGGCUCCAGCUCUGGUGUCUGGGUGGUACCACCAGCACUGGUGGAGCUCCUUGUCUGGGCACAGCCAGGGCUGGGCAGGCAGCAGCCGGGCACAGGGCUGCUGAGACCAGCAGCUACUGUCUUUAUUUUUCAUUCUGCAAGAUUUAGAAGUAUUUUUCAUAGGAAAAAUCCCCAAAUAUUUGUU